rnacentral:siRNA from 1 species
CAUCGAUCGAUUGUAGCCUUUGA